CUUCAGGUUGGACCGUCUUCCAUAUAUCUACUGACUUCAUAUAAAUGAAAGUGUACUAAGGACUCACUGAUCUGCACUGCACUACCAGCUCAUGUUCAAUGUUACUGAACAACAAAGUAAUCUGACAAUUAGACUGGACCCGGUCAUGUUAGGUACCAAAGGAAGACGAAAAUAUCAUUGGUUCUGUACUGAUGCAUGACUUCGCUCGGAACGCAGCAAGAAUUAAC